rnacentral:lncRNA from 1 species
AAACAGACCUUCAGUGUUUUAAAGAUGGCAAGUUAUCUGAUGUUGAAAAAAAUAGUCAAGUUUUAUGUGGAUUUUGUAAUAAUGAAAAUAUUUCAAAGAUAAAAUAUGUUUUAAGUGGUUAAUAUAUUAUUUAUAUUAUUAAAUUAUUAGAAGUAUGAUUUGUUUUAUUUAAUACUACUCUGUAUUUUGAUUUUAAUUUUAGAUUUACAUCAAAAAGUCAAAAAUAUAGAUGCAAUGAGUGACUUUGCUGAAGGAAAAGCAAAAUCUAUUUUGAAUGAUAGAAAACAAUUUGAAAACAAUGUUAAUUUAUGUCAGCAUUGGUUCAGUGAAGUAGAAGUUAUUAUGUCUGCUGAUGUUCGACUAUCCAGUUUACAAAUUGUUGAAGAUCAACUUCAAAAGGUUGAUUAGUACUUAUUAUAUCUGAUAUUUUUAAUAGAAUUCAUUACAAUAUCACAUUAUUAUAUUUUACAUGUAGUAAAUAAAAAAAAUAUUAUUUUAUGUUUAUAACAUUUAUAUACCAAGUGAUUCUUUUAUUGAAAUUUUAGUUUUUGAUGUGAAACGACUUCCUACUUUUGAUUUUCAAAUAGCAACCUUUACUCAAAAUACCUUAAAUAGAUUGGAGUAUAAGUUAAAAAAAUGUUGGUGUUGAAAUUUUUAAUUUCUGUUUUCCGUUGACGAGAUAUUCCAUUUUUAAGUUUAGGUCAGGAGAGAAAUGGUGCAUUAUUAAAACACCGCCUGCUGUGCCGCCACACAAAUGAUGCUCUACUACUCUCCUUGAUCCAAAUUUAAAAGUGGAAUAUCUCAUCAACGAAUUGAUAGAAAUUAAAAAUUUCAACACUUAAAUUUAUUUUAACUAAUACUCCAUCUAUUCAUGGAAUUUUUAAUAUAGGUUGUUAUUUAAAAAUCAAAAUUAGGUAGUCGUUUACCACUUAACAAUUAAGAUGACAAAAUAUAAUGUAGAUAUAAUAUUGUAGAGCUGUUUGUUUCUUAAAUUUUCUAUAAAACAGAUUCCGAAGAAAGUUAAUACUUUCCGAGAUAAUAAGUGUUUAACAAUAUAAGAAUCACCUGGUAUAUAUUUAUUUUUAAUAACAUUUUUUAACACAAUAAUAUUACAGUAUGCUGUAUUAAGCAAUCGCAGUUCUGAAAUUAAUCAUAUUAUUGAAGAACUUAAAGAUAUAAGUAAACAAAUGGCAUUAUGUGAAUCGGACACCUUAAAAAUUGGUGAUCAGAUUUUAUCUUUAGAAAACUAUCAGAAAAAAACAAAAUCCAUGAUUAAAGAUAGAAUUGAAAUGCUUGGACAAUAUCUAGAAAAAAUGAAAAAUAUUUCAAAAACAAUAGAAGAAAGUAAAUUAAUGAUUAGUAAAGUUCAGUCAAACUUACAAGAACUCAAUCGUCCUGUUGGAAGCACUGUAAACGAUGUGAAAGAUAUGAUAGUGUCUUAUGAAGUAAGUUAAACAAUAAAUUUAUAGGUUUACCUAUUUAAAUGCAUACAAUUAUUUAUUUAUGAAAUUCUUUAAUUACAGUCAUUGCUGAAAGAAUUAAAAGAAUGGAAUGAAAAAUUGGGUGAAAAUGAUGCUGAAUCACUUAAUGAAAUCAUUAAACAACAAGAAGAAUUGAUCAAUACAAUUGAAAAACAACUUUCAAAACUUAGGCAACUGUUACAUCUUCAUGAACAGUUUAUGAUAUUAAUUUCUGAUAUUGUCACAUUUCUUACAAAAUAUUCCAGUGUUGUUAAUGAGAUUGGAAAAUCUGGAAAUACUAUUCAAAACAAAAUUAAACAGUUUGAUGAGGUUUUUUUAUUUUUCACAAAUAUACUUCAUGUGAAUUUUAUCAUAAUUAUUAUUUAAUAUAAUAUUUCAGGUUACAGUUAAAAUUCAAGAAUGUGAAGCUACUCUUUUGUUAGCAACAGAUAAGGGGGAGAGAAUCGCUGAAGAAGGUUCUGCAUUUGAUCGUAACAACAUCACUCAGCAGUUGCAAUCUUUAAAACAACAGUUGAAUACUUUAAGAAAAGCUGUUGAUAAAGAAAGACAAAAACUUGAGGCAACCGCAGCAGAACAUAUCAAACUUGCUGCUGAUUUAGAACAGGUUAUGGAUUGGAUACGGGAAAACGAGACUCUUAUUAAAUCCAGACCACUUCUUGAAAUUAAUGUUGAUAGUGUUGACAAAGAUUUGAAAGAACAUGAGGUAAUAAUUAUAAUGAAUGGUAUAUAAAUUAGGUACCUACCUUAUUAUUAUUGAAUUAUUAAUAAUAUAUAUAAUCUAAAAUACAAUUUAAUAAUUAAUUUUCCUAUUUUGUAAAUAUAUAGGUAACUAGACUCAUUUUUAGUUUUAAAAUGUAUACAUAAUGUUUAAAAAAUAAAUAUUUUAUGCCAAUCUAUUGUAGUGUGUAAAUAUGUGCAAUUGUUAAAUUGCAUAAUAUCUUUGAAAUAUUUAUUAACUUUUUAGGAAUUAAAAGUUAAAGUCAAUGAGCAGUUAUCUCGAUUAAGAACAAUACAUUUAACAGCCCAAAAUGAAAAUAUUGAAAAUAGUACUAUGCUUGAAUGUUUGAGUGAAGCUAGUUCAUUUUUGAAUACUAUUCCUAAAGAAUUACAGGAUAGACAAACGUAUAUAAAUAUAAAUAAAGAUUAUCGAAUAGAAUAUGAAGAAUUUAAAGAAAAAUUUGUUUUGUGGAUUACUGAAGCCAAACAAAAAUUAAAAUCAGCCGAAGCUGACAAAAAUGAUUAUAAAAAUAUUGUAUCAAGCUUGGAAAAUUUAAAAGUAUAUACAUUUAAAACAUAAACUAAAAUAAUGUGUAUUUGAUUAAUUUACUUCUGUUACAUUUCAGGUAUUUUUUAAUGAUCAAGCUAUUAACAAUUUAGUUACAAAAAAAAUUAAACAGUCUAUUGAUAAAAUUCGACCAUCCUUAACUUCAUCUCAAAACGAUAUUCUAACAUUGGAACAACAGAAAUUAAACAAAGAUUUUGAAGACAUAUUGAACUCUGCUAAAAUUAUACAGAAACAAUUUGAAGAAGAAUAUAGUCUUUUAAAAGAAUACAGAUGUGCUGUUGAUAAAGUAACUUCGAUUUUACAUUGUUGUGAAUAUAAAGAAGACCCCAUUAAAAAUGUAGCUGGUUUAUA